UCCCAGUGCUUAGAGGGAGGAAGAUCUCUGAGACAGAGACAGCUUAGUGUAUAUAGCAGAUGCUAGAGAGAGAAAGAGAGAGAGAGAGAGAGAGAGAGAGAGAGAGAGAGAGAAUUUCCAAAAAUGUGAAAAUACUUAAGAAUUAGGAGUUAUAAGUAAUGAGUUAUAAGAAUGAGUCUUUUCUGAUUUUCUGUGACUGAUGGAUUAAGAGCUCUUUGAAAGUUGCCCUUCUCUGAGAUCAGGGACACAGGAAGAGGCAGGUGGUAACUACAUAUACCACACAAGGAGAAGGAAGGGGUAUAUGGCUUUUGAUGGGCAGAACCAAUGUCCUCUCCACCAUAGUCCUAGGCAUAUACAGAGAAUCAGAGGCAAACUCUGCACCGUGUAUGUGCAUUGCCCACAGCAGCCAAGAGAGGGAACUGGAUCCCAUGGAACUGAAGCUAUGCAUGGAUGAUUGCGGAUCACCAUGUGAUCUGAACCCAGGUCCUCUGCAGGAUCAGCAAGUUCUCUGAACCGCUGACUCCUGUCUCCAGCCCCUUCUGGUGCUUUCUGAGUUGAAGACUCAAUGAGAGUAUCGCUGUUUCAAGAGUGGCCACUGCUACACAUUUCCUCAAAUGGGUUUGCCAAAGCCAAGAGCAUACUUAUCUUCCCCGUAUUUCCUCUAUAAUUAGAGACGCAAGGCCUUUUCAUCAACAUCCACUCCUCUCCUGGGAAGCUUUGAUACCCUGCACAUCUAACCCGAUGCUGGCCAUCGAUACUCAAUCGAAUGAAGACAUUCAGGGCAUUCCAGGAUUUUAGAGUCAAAGAACACCUGAUCCUGUCUGCACACAUCCGCUGGUUCCCACCUUCUGCUGCACAUCCAAGAAUGUAUUGUUAAAGACAAGGAUGAGAGGACCUUCCCUAACCACCACAGCAAGAGAGGGGCAGGGAAGAACUUCUAGAAGGUGGAGCAAUUGGCCACAAAAAGUGAUAGAAAAGAGGCCUCUUCCCGGAGAGUCCAGUCAGAAACCAGGGUCCGCGCAAGCCCAUCCACAUCGUCACUAGUUCAGCAUGAAAACUGUGUGCUGCGUAAUCCCAGUUCAUGGCCUAUUGGGUCAAGCGACACUCAGAAAUGAGUGUUAAGAAUAUGUUAAGGUAACGAUCCAGACUUAAUCAUUCUAUUUUAUUAAGACCCAGAAACAGACCCGGAGCCAUUUCUUAAAGGCUAAGUCCUAAUCCUAAAUCUCUGUUGGUCCAUCUGUCUAUCUGUCUGUCUGUCUCCUCUCUUCCCACCUCUCCCCCCCCUCAACUCCCCCUCUCUUCUUUUCUCCUUUCUCCUCUCCUCUUCCUCCCUCUCUUCGGGGUGCAUCUAUGUAUGUGGAAGCCAGAGGGCCACCUUGGGGGUUACCCUCAGGUGUCAGCUGUCUUGUUCUUGUAUUUUGGCAUUUUUUCUUUUUGACAAUCUUUCAAUGGUGUGGAACUUGCCGUGGAGACAAGGCUGUCUCUGCCUCCCCAGUGCUAUGUUGCCAGCUUUACAGGGGUUCUGAAUCUUUAUGCUUGCGUGACAAGUAUUCCCUGCCUGAGCCAUCUCAACAAUUGCACCUAAACUUUAAGAGACCUCCACUGUGAUUCGCUGACUACCGUGGCCUGCCAGGGCGGUCACUGAUCAUUCAUGCAAAUUGGAUCUGCUGGGUAUUGGACUCACCCGGCAGAGCGGCGUGCGCGGUGCCCGCAUCUGCUGUACAGCUUCCUCCAGUUCUGGGCUCCAUUCGAAGCCCUUUGGAGAUCGCUGGGCGAAUGGGCUAUAGUGACACCAUUUAAACGAGGACUAUGUGACCUGACAUUCCACGAGGCCGGCAGACUCUUGUACUUCUUAUUUUUGCCUUGGGAGAGGUUAGAUGCAACAACUUAUAUGUCACCUUCAAUGGAUGUGUUUACCUACUUCGUACAACUCUAUGACUGGAGGCUUUACUGGACAGGAAGGCCUGGAUUUUUGUCACUUACUUGCCCUCUGACUGCAAAAGUCCCUAAGUUUUGCCACGUCUCGCUCACAAGAUCCUCUCAGCAUAACGUCACCAAUGUAAUGGACCCGAGUGACAGCUUGUGCAAAGGAAAGGUAGUCAAGCCACAUCUAUUUCUAGUAUCCAGGUGGAUACAUAUGUUUUUCUUUGGGUUCACCUUCUUAUUUAGCUUCUCUAGGAUCACGAACUACAGGCUCAAUGUCCUUUGUUUAUGGCUAGAAUCCACUUAUGAGUGAGUACAUAUCAUAUUCCUCUUUUU